rnacentral:rRNA from 1 species
UAGGGAAUAUUGGUCAAUGGACGGAAGUCUGAACCAGCCAUGCCGCGUGCAGGAAGACGGCCUUCUGGGUUGUAAACUGCUUUUAUCAGGGAACAAAUAGCCCAUGCGUGGGAAGUUGAGUGUACCUGAAGAAUAAGCACCGGCUAACUCCGUGCCAGCAGCCGCGGUAAUACGGAGGGUGCAAGCGUUGUCCGGAUUUAUUGGGUUUAAAGGGUGCGUAGGCGGUCAAUUAAGUCAGUGGUGAAAUCCUCCAGCUCAACUGGAGAACUGCCAUUGAUACUGGUUGACUUGAGUACAGACGAGGUAGGCGGAAUUUAUGGUGUAGCGGUGAAAUGCAUAGAUACCAUAAAGAACACCGAUAGCGAAGGCAGCUUACUAGACUGUAACUGACGCUGAGGCACGAAAGCGUGGGGAGCGAACAGGAUUAGAUACCCCCGUAGUCC